AGCGCAGCCUGGUAGCGCGCAUCGUUCGGGACGAUGAGGCCGGAGGUUCGAAUCCUCUC
rnacentral:tRNA from 1 species